UUUCAAAUUUCGUACUCGCUAUUAUGGAUACGUUAAGCUGCAAUACAGCCAUGCAAUGGCAUAAACAAGUCGGAAAAUGCGCGUUAGCAGUUGAAGUGCUAUUAUAAACAACGUAUUAAUAAUGCUUGCAAGUAUGUACCAAAUAUACUCUCCAUUAAGCUGAGGAUCUUUUUUUGUUGCGCCAUAUUUACGGAAUUUUUGAACAAUAAAGUAAAAUAGAAAUAAAAUCUACUAUUAACAUUU